GCUCAGGACGAACGCUGGCGGCGUGCCUAAUACAUGCAAGUCGAGCGGACUUGCUGGAGCUUGCUCCCGGAGGUUAGCGGCGGACGGGUGAGUAACACGUGGGCAACCUGCCUGUAAGACUGGGAUAACUCCGGGAAACCGGAGCUAAUACCGGAUAGUAUCUUGAACCGCAUGGUUCAAGUUGGAAAGACGGUUUCGGCUGUCACUUACAGAUGGGCCCGCGGCGCAUUAGCUAGUUGGUGAGGUAAUGGCUCACCAAGGCAACGAUGCGUAGCCGACCUGAGAGGGUGAUCGGCCACACUGGGACUGAGACACGGCCCAGACUCCUACGGGAGGCAGCAGUAGGGAAUCUUCCGCAAUGGACGAAAGUCUGACGGAGCAACGCCGCGUGAGUGAUGAAGGUUUUCGGAUCGUAAAACUCUGUUGUUAGGGAAGAACAAGUGCGAGAGUAACUGCUCGCACCUUGACGGUACCUAACCAGAAAGCCACGGCUAACUACGUGCCAGCAGCCGCGGUAAUACGUAGGUGGCAAGCGUUGUCCGGAAUUAUUGGGCGUAAAGCGCGCGCAGGCGGUUUCUUAAGUCUGAUGUGAAAGCCCCCGGCUCAACCGGGGAGGGUCAUUGGAAACUGGGAAACUUGAGUGCAGAAGAGGAGAGUGGAAUUCCACGUGUAGCGGUGAAAUGCGUAGAGAUGUGGAGGAACACCAGUGGCGAAGGCGACUCUCUGGUCUGUAACUGACGCUGAGGCGCGAAAGCGUGGGGAGCGAACAGGAUUAGAUACCCUGGUAGUCCACGCCGUAAACGAUGAGUGCUAAGUGUUAGAGGGUUUCCGCCCUUUAGUGCUGCAGCUAACGCAUUAAGCACUCCGCC
rnacentral:rRNA from 1 species